rnacentral:misc_RNA from 1 species
ACGUCGUAACAAGGUUUCCGUAGGUGAACCUGCGGAAGGAUCAUUAACACGUUUUUCCGAACGUUUACAUGAACCAUCUCAUCUUCUGUGCUUUUAAACCGGCCUCCCGACCCUUUGCCUUCCAGCUUGCUGGCUGCGCACGGUUGGGCGUCUUUGGGGUCCAAGGAGCGUCUUCCAGAAGGAUUGUUUGGGCGAAAUGCCUGGUCUUUCUUAGUACGGUGGAUGCACCUCCUGAAGGCGUUGCCAAACAACCCAACCUUGAAUCUAAUUGCUCUAAUUUUUUAGUUGUGCCUUAACGGGCCAACGAUAUUUAAAACAACAACAACUCUUAACAACGGAUAUCUUGGCUCUC